rnacentral:rRNA from 1 species
AUACGGAGGGUGCAAGCGUUACUCGGAAUCACUGGGCGUAAAGCGCGCGCAGGCGGCCUUUUAAGUUGGAUGUGAAAGCCUACGGCUCAACCGUAGAACUGCAUCCAAAACUAUUAGACUAGAGUGUGGGAGAGGAAGAUGGAAUUAGUUGUGUAGGGGUAAAAUCCGUAGAGAUAACUAGGAAUACCAAAAGCGAAGGCAAUCUUCUGGAACACUACUGACGCUGAGGCGUGAAAGCGUGGGGAGCAAACAGGAUUAGAAACCCCGGUAGUCC